GCCCGGGUGGCUCAGUUGGUUGAGCGUCUGACUUCGGUUCAGGUCAUGAUCUCACAGUUCGUGGAUUCGAGCCCCGCAUCGGGCU
rnacentral:tRNA from 1 species